AGGAUGCGACCGAACUCACCUGUGAGCGGCGGCGCUGACUCUCUACAAGGGCCCGAUGUAAACGCAGAAAAAAAAUCUAUCUGGAAAAAUUCGUUACGACCUUAAGUUGAGGACAUUUCUCUCCAGAGCCUGCUUUGCUUCUGAAACAGGUAAGAGACGCGUCUAUGGAAAUACACAGUAUUCACACGUACGACUUCACCUGCUUUGAAUCUGUUAUCCUGCCAUGGCCAUAAGAUGCAUACAUAUAUGGCUACACAUAAGAUGCAUGUUAACUUUGCCUUUUAGUUUUUUUUUUUGACGUAAAGUAACAUAUUUUUUAUCCACUAUACAAACGCCCUUGUUUCAUUUAAAAUGAGGCUACGACUUUGGUCCCUAACAGACAAAAAGCCUUGUUCUUUGAAGUGCCAGAAUAUUACCCCACGCUCCUUGGUCUAUUAUUAUGAUCAGUAAUAAAUUGGUUUAUGUAAUAGCUUAUGCUGAUAAUCCUUGAGAUUUGAAAUAGUCUAGUUCUAGCAGAAGUAGGCCAAUCGCAACUCUCAUUAAAAGUAGGGAUUCGUUGCCCCCCCCUCCCCUAGGAGCGCUAUAAGAGCCCAGAGCGAAUUAAAGCAUCUUAAAGCCCAGCUCAAUUCACAUUUAGAGUUUUAAACAAAAAGGGGUCAGCUGUUGAUCUCGGAGCGUCAUGUCUGCUGCAUCAAAGGGAUGUUUCUUUAUACCUAACACUGUCUCGGGUUCAUGGGAAUGUAUACAUGUUUUUCAGGCCGCCCAGUUUGGUCACACUGACCUUUUAUGAUCAUCCGCUGACACAAAAUAGGCUGAAAAUGUGGUUUAUAUCAUACCAACUGACAUGCACAAAGUUCUAAAGCCUGUAUCUGAUUUUACAACAAUAUGUCAGGUUGUAAAAUAUCCGUCCGCCACUCGUUCACCGUGUGUGUUGAGAUGCCAUUAGUUGUGUAAAAUCACAUGGCAGGUGAGUCUUAAUGUUGCCUUCAAUUAAAAAAAAAUAGAAUGCAACUUAGCAAGUGAAAUGUCACUUGCUCGUAUACUUCACAUUGGUCUUUUGGCAGUUUGAACUAUAGUAUUAUACAUCUUUAUUAGAAUAAACAUUGCACACGUUGUCAGUGUUGGAAUAUUACGUCCGAUUCGUUAUAGAAAUAUAGUCGGGUGUUAAUUGCAAGGCAUGCUGAUGCAAUAGGCCUCCCACACACAUAUUUACCUAUCCUAUAAAUGCUAAAUAACGAUUUCAGUUUCUUACUAAAGAUUAAAGUAAUCAUUUCAUGUUUUUAAAGGAAGCUUUUCAAAUAUAUCUACAAUGUAAAGUAAAAUUUAUUUAGUAGGCCUUCAACCAGACACUUUAUACAUCAUGACAGGAAUAUUUGUCGUCUGGAUGCGCGAGCUUCUUUAACCAACUCAAUAUGUGUUAGCUUAAAUAUUUUAGUUUCACACAUGUGAUCAAUCUCCUCUUAUCACAUCGUGUCAUGCUGCUGUUAUUCUCAGUGUCCCGUAAUUAAAAAAAAAAAAAAAAAAUACUAUAAAUGUGUUUUUAAAUAUUAAAGGCCUAUACUUCUUCAUCCUCCUUCUAGAUCACGUCAGCAUCAUGUCGGGCUUCAGCACGAGAGUGUGAGAGGGGGUCUGUUUCUGUCUUUGGUUAUCUAGCUGUAUGCUUUUUAAAUACCUGUCAUAAAGCUAGAUAACCGAAAGUAGAAAUGGCUUCCGUAACGUUGUGUUCAUUCCCGAAAGAGAUGGUGACUCCUCAAGCUUCACACUCAAAAAGGUAAGAAAAUAGUUUUGCUUUUUCUGAAAGUUUGCACACACACAAAAAAAAAACAAUUGCAUAAAAUAAUCCCAAAUGGCUACAACACAUAUAUAUAAUAAAUACGUUUUUGUACAUAUAGCUUAAUAAGUGAGUUUUUAUUUCCUUUUAUAUUAAGUACACAUUUAUAGCAUAUGGCAGAUUUAUAGGCAUUUAAGUUUGCAGAGCUUUUUCUUUGCAGAAGAAAAUGUUUGGGUGUUAAUUGUAGCCUAUGUCAGGCACCCUAUGAUAGGGUCUUUAAGGAAAACAAAAAUAUCUUUGAGACAAUUGAUGUUGAGACCAAAUGCACUUAACCCAGCUUCUCACUUCUCACUACAGAGUUUAAUGUAGUGUUUUGUUAUGUUUUUCUAUCUCACUUCACUUUAUUUUGAGGAUUCACAAUAUGAGCUCUUUGUACUGAGGGCCCUGCGUCCUGUUUUGUUUUAGGGUGGUUAGGGUUGCUGUCCAUUCAGGUCCUCUGCAACAUGGUGCUGAAUGUUAAACAGCUCGCUCCGGUGGAGGGGAACAGCACGGACUAAAGCAAGAACUCCAAAACUUUCUCCAUUUCAAGAAUUUGGUUUUUAUUCCGUGGAUAAAAAACGAAUCAAAUAAUAUAUACAGGGAGGUAAUGUUGGGUCACAAUAUGGUUUGUUUUUUUGUCACAGCAACAUUUUGACUUGUCAUAGCAGGAAAAGCACAUGUUACCAAUAACACUAACAAUGGCUCUGUUCUAUUUCUAUGCAAGUCAUGACAGUGAGCCAUCGUGCACAAUACCAAGACCCUGAAAGUGAAGCAGCUAAAUGGAAUUCAGCCUUCUUUAAUUGUAUUAUAUUCGCCUGGGCUUUUCCGACUGCGACAUGUGACAAGUGUCUUCUGUGAAGAAAAAAAAAAAAGGCCUAUCACACCUCAGAGUGUUUAAUCUGAUCCCUCCUGCUCACCUGCAGUAAGUGAAAAAAACAAAUCAGGAAAGCUCAAGUCCUCCAGGAUUUCUCUCUGGGAUCCCUGGAGGGACACACUGGUGGGGUGCCCUGCCAUCCCUAUAGUCAAUGCUCUUAUUUUACCGUAGCAGAUACUCUUGAUUUAUGUUUUGCAUUUACUGUUUUAUUUAUUUACUUUAAUCUUUUGGAAGAGUAUUUUCCAUUUUAUUAUAUAUUUAGAAAAGGGAGAUUACUGCUUCAUCCAGGCACUAAUGUCUCCGUCUGCUAAUAAUGCAGUUGAUUUCUGUAGCACCCUACACACACAGGGUUAAAAAAGACACUUGGCGUCUGCAUUUAAAGCUGUAGCUAAUCUCAAGGCCUUUGGGACACAUUGUGUCUUGCCUCAAUGAGAAGGCCAAGGCUAUCCCGUAGACAGGAUCUGAGUUUUUGAACUUGGUACUUCAGCGCUGUGCAAGCGCAUACGCUCAGCCCGGAGAAUGCCACUAAAGGCUAAAGAGCACCAGAGUGAGAUGAGUUUUCAUUCACCCUCUUAACUACCUAUUGCAGUAGAGCUUGCUGUCAAACCGUGCUAAUUGCUUCGUUUCACAGCGAGAUAUUGGACAUGUGAAAAAAGCCGUGGUCCAAGUCCUUUCCCGAGCUUUUUCCUGUUAGGGCGUGUCAGCAUGGCGCGCCUCCUUAAUGAAAGGGAAUAAAAACACUUGAGGCUUUAUUUACGGGAUGGCCCAAGGCGUUCUUGUCUUAACUUGCGUAUGUGUAUAAUUCAAAUGAUUCUUUUUGUGCUUUUAUUGUAGCAAAAAUGCACACACUCAUGCGCACACAACAACUCAACAAGGGGACUGGACAUUGAUUGAGCAAAGCUGGCCAGAGAUUUAAAUGUUUUAAUAACCACAACUCAGUGUAACAGUGUUUCUGGUUUAAAGAAAAAAAGUGUAGCCCUUGUUUAGUUCAUUGGCUGUGUUUAGCUAUACUGAUAACUAAAAGUGCAAAAUGUGUUUUUCCUGUUUUAUUCCUCUCUUUUCUCUCUUCCAUCUUCUCUUCUUACAGGCUUCCGAUUCACGACAUUGAAUGAUCGGGGAUCCCUGAAGAGAGUGUCGAGACAUCGUUGAAAGAAAACGAGGAGAGAGGCGGGAAAAAUGCUUGGUCCGGAAUUGCCACCUCCUCCUCUCCCCUCUCCCUCCCACUCAUCGCCCUUUUUGCCCAAGAGCCUCUAAUGCCAUCUGUGCUGCCAACGGGGGGAAACACUCUGCCCGUGCCAAUUGGACAAAGACCCUUCCAGAUCCCCGGAGUAUGGGCGCGCUCACAGGAGCCAUCUUGGGGAGACGUUGCCGCCGACACCUAAAAUGGCUGGGCUGGCACACGAGGAUGGGACGGGAUCUGCAAGCCUUUCUGCACUCUGCAGGCACCUGCUUGGGCACGAGGAGAUCAUGGACCAAACUCAACGACAUGUUGUGUCAUCAGAAACUCUCACCAUAUUGUGGAUUCAAGAGAUUAACAGAGAAGAGUUGCACUGUGUGUUCAAGGACUGUAGAAACAAAAGAGCCUGAAAUGUUUAACUCUGUUAUCCAUGAAAGUUUAUUAUAUAAUACUGUAUUAAUGAUUAAGUGUAAGUGAUUCGCCAUGUUUACACAAUAGUGCUAUUUUCAAAAAUUGCAAAAAAAGAACUUGAAUGUACAUUAAGUGCAUUUUCAUAGCUAAUGCAUGUUUCAAUUCGGAAUUUAUGAAAUCGUUGUUCUCAUAUGCCCACAUUGAGAUAGUAAUUAAUAAGAUUUAAGUGCAUUACCGAAAAAGGUGAUUGUUUUAAGAUGACUGCUGACACUUCUUUGAAAUAAAAACAAUGGAAGUAUUAUUA